AUGCUUCUGAAGUGCGUUUUAUUAUUACUUUCAAAUGUAUUUAUAUUUUUCCUAUUUGAAGAUAAACUAGGAAAAGGAUUUCCUCUUCUUAGUUUGGCCCACACUAGCCUGACUGGACCUGUAAUAAAAAUUAAUCAGGGUCAUCUGGUUAUUUGCACUGAUGUUCACUAUCAACAGGAGGAUGAGCCUUCACAGCCAUUGCUGAUGUCCUUUACAUUUAAAGAACAAUAAGAGAAAAAUUUAGCCUUCCUUCUAUUGUCUUAUAGGCAGUAAAUGUUAUAACAUUAGACACAUGGCUUUUCAUCACUAUUUUUAAUGUUUUACUAGAAACUUCUUAAGCACUUUUCACAAAGCAAAUCUGUUGUUUUUAAGUUCAGUGAGUGUAGCUAAUUGUAAUUGAUGCUUUGAAAAACUUGCUGCAGCAUGAUGAGGAGUGACAGGUUCUUUUCACUAGAGUUGUAGACAAUACAUUUUCUUAAUAUUAAGAGCCAGUUUUUGCAUAAUUCAACUUAUCUCCCUUAGUGGUAGCAAAACUGUGUGUGGAGUGAGACCUUAUCCUUUGUAAGAAUUUAACAAUUUGUCCCUUUGUAACUGGACACCAAUAGGUGGGAACAGAUCUAUAAAGCUCAGUGAAUUCCCAUGUAAUUACAGAAUCAUAUCAUCUAGUCCAGACAGGCUGAAAACAGGACUAAUUAGAUGAGGUUAUUGAGCAUGGUGUCAAAUUGAGUCUUGAACCCGUCCAAGGACAAAGAUUCUUCAAUCUCUCAGGACAAUCUGUUUCACUAUUUAAUUACAUUUAGAGUAAAUUUUUCUCCCUAGUACCUAAUCAGUAUUUUCCAUUUUCCAGCAUGAUCUGUGUCCUUUUGUACUUUCACCACACUUCCAAGAAGAGUCUGUCUCCAUUUUCUCUGUAGUCUCUUUACAAAAUUUGCAGGCAACAAAAUGGCCUUUCAAGCCCUCUCUUCUCUAAAGUGAACAGCCUUAUCUCUCCUUGUAGUUCAUCUUCUCCAGCCCCCUUGGUGGCACCUGCUGGUGCAGGCCAGAAGACAAGCCUUGCUAGUAAAAGUGGCCUUUUCUAUGUCUUUUGUCACUGGUCUCCCAUCCUACUGAGCAAUAUGCCCACAUUCAUCUUCUGCUGUCAGUGUACUUACAGAAACCUUUCCCACUGCCCUUCAGCUCCAGCUGAACUUUGGCUUUCCUGGUUUCAUUCCUAUGUGUGCAAACAAGAUAC
rnacentral:lncRNA from 1 species